rnacentral:tRNA from 1 species
GAUUCUUUAGUAUAAAAAUUUAGUAUGAUUGAUUUCCAAUCAAUAGGUGUAGGAGUUA